rnacentral:rRNA from 1 species
UUGGCUUUACCUGAAGACGGUGCGCUAACGCAAGGAGGCAGCCGGCCACGGUAGGUCAGGACUGGGGUGAAGUCGUAACAAGGUAGCCGUAGGUGAACCUGCAGAAGGAUCA